UGCGUAGGCGGACUAAUAAGUCAGUGGUGAAAUCUCUCGGCUCAACCGGGAAACUGCCAUUGAUACUGUUAGUCUUGAGUUCGGUUGAGGUAGGCGGAAUGUGUAAUGUAGCGGUGAAAUGCUUAGAUAUUACACAGAACACCAAUUGCGUAGGCAGCUUACUAGACCGACACUGACGCUGAGGCACGAAAGCGUGGGUAGCGAACCGGAUUAGAGACCCGAGUAGUCC
rnacentral:rRNA from 1 species